CCUAUUCAGUACUAAAAGCUGUAAUUAAAGUGUUAUCAAAUUAUCAGUGAGUCGUUCUUUUAAUAACUGUUUUAUGCCAAAGGAAUACAUUAUAACUUUCACCUAUUAUAAUAUUUAUGGAACGUUUUCUUAAAUCUGAGUAAAUAAAAUGUUCAAAUGAUUUACUCUAUUUGUUACUACACAGGAGUUUAACAAUGUUUUAAUUUGAACAUGUCAGUGUGGUGAACCACGACUACUGCCGCCUAUGAUGAUUAAAUGAUAAAGCCAUCGUAGUUUUCAUUGAAGCAAGCUGGUGUAUAAUGUUUCAUUGCUAACCUCAACAUGUUUAAUGUUAACUCGAGUUUGAAAAGUCAUAGCGCUCUAUACAAAAAAGUAAAACGCUUGUAUUGAAAAGAGUUCAGUUUUAGAAAUUAAAAACAAACAGUGUCGAUUAGUAAAAAAAUAGUGGAUACACUGUCAAUGAUGUUUUGUUUUUAGUGUGUUACAAAGAAACUUAACAUUGGAACGGCUGUUAUUUGAAUUUAUUCUGCCUGGAACAUUUGUACUAGUCGCAUAUAAGACGUAUUGCAGGCUACCUCUUAGGCAAUCAAACAACUCUUCAAGUUAUUAUUGAAAUCAAUUAUACGAAGUCUUCAUAACAGUAAUAGCGGAUUGACAAUGAAACAGCGCCAGUAAACUUUACUGCAAAUAUGUUCAGCAACAAGUGGAUUUCAUUUUCUGAGAUUUUAAUGUGAAUGAAUGGUAUGUAACAUAUUUUAAUUUAUACUAAAGUAUAACGGUAGACCCCUCACCACAGUGGGUUCGAAUCCCGACAAGGCUUUGGAUCCUUUCAUGUUA